rnacentral:rRNA from 1 species
UGGGGGAUAUUGCACAAUGGGCGAAAGCCUGAUGCAGCGACGCCGCGUGGGGGAUGAAGGCCUUCGGGUUGUAAACUUCUUUUGCUCUGAACAAGGCGCACCAUGGGGUGUGUUGAGUGUAGGGGUUGAUUAGCGCCGGCUAAUUACGUGCCAGCAGCCGCGGUAAUACGUAGGGCGCGAGCGUUGUCCGGAAUUAUUGGGCGUAAAGGGCUUGUAGGUGGCUGGUUGCGUCUGUCGUGAAAGCUCAUGGCUUAACUGUGGGUUUGCGGUGGGUACGGGCUGGCUUGAGUGCAGUAGGGGAGGCUGGAAUUCCUGGUGUAGCGGUGGAAUGCGCAGAUAUCAGGAGGAAUACCGGUGGCGAAGGCGGGUCUCUGGGCUGUUACUGACACUGAGGAGCGAAAGCAUGGGGAGCGAACAGG